rnacentral:rRNA from 1 species
UACGUAGGGGGCUAGCGUUGUCCGGAAUCAUUGGGCGUAAAGAGCGUGUAGGCGGCUCGGUAAGUCCGCUGUGAAAGUCCAGGGCUCAACCCUGGAAUGCCGGUGGAAACUGUCGAGCUAGAGUCCGGAAGAGGCGAGUGGAAUUCCCGGUGUAGCGGUGAAAUGCGCAGAUAUCGGGAAGAACACCCGUGGCGAAGGCGGCUCACUCGGAGCCAUAACUGACGCUGAUGCACGAAAGCUGGGGGAGCAAACAGG